GUAGGUACGUAGUUAUCGAUUUCUUUUUUACUACCGUCAUUUCCCCCUUCUUGCCGAUUUGAGAGCCGGCUUUCGCUAACAUAACUCUCUAGGUGAACCUGCGGAAGGAUCAUUAAAAGAGUUAGGGUCCCUUCGGGAGCCCGACCCUCCAACCCUUUGUGAACAUACCGUGUUGCUUUGGCGGGCCUGGGCCCCUAGGCCCUGCUGGCUUCGGCUGGCGAGUGCCCGUCAGAGACCCAUACAAACUCGU
rnacentral:misc_RNA from 1 species